rnacentral:tRNA from 1 species
GUUAAUAUAGUUUAAAAAAAACACUAGAUUGUGAAUCUAGAAAUAGGAGAUCAGCCUUCCUUAUUAACC